rnacentral:rRNA from 1 species
UGCGCGGUGGCCGCGGCCUAUAAUGCAAGUCGAGGGGCAGCGCGGUAGCAAUACUGGCGGCGACCGGCGCACGGGUGCGUAACGCGUAUGGAACUUGCCCUUACUAAGGGAUAGCCCGGAGAAAUCCGGAUUAAUACCUUAUAGUAUGGUUUGUUGGCAUCAACGAAUUAUUAAAGAUUUAUCGGUAAAGGAUAGUCAUGCGUAUGAUUAGCUAGUUGGCGGGGUAACGGCCCACCAAGGCUUCGAUCAUUAGGGGGUCUGAGAGGAUGAUCCCCCACACUGGUACUGAGAUACGGACCAGACUCCUACGGGAGGCAGCAGUAGGGAAUAUUGGUCAAUGGACGAGAGUCUGAACCAGCCAUGCCGCGUGCAGGAAGAAGGCCCUCUGGGUUGUAAACUGCUUUUGAUAGGGGCCAAAAUAUCCAUGCGUGGAGAAUUGAGAGUACCUAUAGAAUAAGCACCGGCUAACUCCGUGCCAGCAGCCGCGGUAAUACGGAGGGUGCAAGCGUUGUCCGGAUUUAUUGGGUUUAAAGGGUGCGUAGGUGGCUAUUUAAGUCAGUGGUGAAAGUCUGCAGCUUAACUGUAGAAUUGCCAUUGAUACUGAAUAGCUUGAGUAUUGAUGAGGUAGGCGGAAUUGAUAGUGUAGCGGUGAAAUGCAUAGAUAUUAUCAAGAACACCAAUUGCGAAGGCAGCUUACUAAGGAAUAACUGACACUGAGGCACGAAAGCGUGGGGAUCAAACAGGAUUAGAUACCCUGGGUAGUCCACGCCAUAAACGAUGAUUACUCGAUGUAUGCGAUAGACAGUAUGCGUCCAAGCGAAAGCGUUAAGUAAUCCACCUGGGGGAGUACGACCGCAAGGUUGAAACUCAAAGGGAAUUGACGG